GGGAAUAUAGCUCAGUUGGUUAGAGCACUCGGCUGAUAACCGGGAGGUCAUAAGUUCGAACCUUAUUAUUCCCA
rnacentral:tRNA from 2 species